GUUAGUGAAGGCGACGGUUAGGCUGAUUUUUGUCUGUAUCUCGGACCCCUAUCACUGAGGGCCAGACCUAACAUAUGUGUGCAGUAGCCGACCACAUCUCUUCACCUGCUAGUGGCCGGUGCACAAAAGGAUCCAUAGCAUGUAUGCAGAAUUCUGUCUUUGUUCAGGCACCAUUGACCAACCAGCAGAGGCCGCAGUUGCAGCAGCAAUAAUAAAUACCUUGGGCACGCCCCUCCAGCAGAUAUCAGCCAAUCACGUCCGUGUAGGCACCAGGCUGGCCUAUAGAGAAGCUGAGAUUCAAACUCGAGAGCUGAGGAUCUCAGCAAUGUGCACUGUGGGUUGUGAAGCAGUCAGGAUGGCCGAGCGGUCUAAGGCGCUGCGUUCAGGUCGCAGUCUCCCCUGGAGGCGUGGGUUCGAAUCCCACUUCUGACAGAGCCAAAUUUUUUUGUCUAGACUGAGCUUGUAUGUUUAGAUCUUUGAGCUCUGGAGGAGUUCCAGUGCAGCACAUUUUUAAAUUGUUAAUAGAGGAGAAAUGUGUUGUGUAACACGUGGUGUAAUGAUAAACAGAUCCAGCAGAGGGCGCAGCGCCCCAUACAUUCACUCUAAUAUGAACUAAAGGCUGGAAUUAGAAAAUAUUACAUACCUUUAAUAGGCUUUUUUACGUUUUAUGAACGUGUAUAGUAGCAGAUUGUAUACAACCGUAUGCAAAUAUGUUAAGCAAUUUCAUUCCACAAGUGUUAAACUUGCGAACUAUUAUUAAACUUAAAAUGUAAUGAAAAAAGUGCUGAAAGAGUUCUGUAAAACACUUUGAGUGUCUUAAAACUGUUGUAAUAAACUGGGUAAAAAAUCAAAUAAAAAAUAAAUUACAACCUUACAAACCUAUUGUUUAUUUUCAUGCUUUAUCCUGGUCAGGGUUGCGGUAGUCCGGUUUCCCCAGAAUAUUUGGUUGCAAUGCAGUAACUCUUACAGGAUGCCAAUUUAUUGUGAGGGCUUGGCAACCCCCCACUCUUUAUGUCUGUAUGUAGAUGCCCAACUGGCUGAUAGCACUUCUGUGGAUUUGAACCCUGUAUCCCAAUGGUAGUGGGCUAGCAUAAUUUAAUCAGACCUUAUUUGUAGUAAAAAUGAAAUAGAUUUAAGUAUAAUAGUUAUACGUUUACAUUAAAU